UUUUUGCCGUUUUUAGCGUUAUUUUGGACACAGAGUUAUUUGGCAUAUGACCUCUUUAAAGUACCAUCUGGGUUGGAUAAAUUAUUUAAAAAGUUGUCACGCGAAACUUUUCGAGAAUGUUUACCGCACCUAGAAAGUGUUUUAUGUGGAUAAAAAUACAAAAUUACAAAACUACGCAAUAGGUCUGCGUCGUUCCGCUAGAAAUUUAAAAUUUAGUUUGUACCU